rnacentral:rRNA from 1 species
UACAGAGGGUGCAAGCGUUAAUCGGAAUUACUGGGCGUAAAGCGAGCGUAGGUGGCUUGAUAAGUCAGAUGUGAAAGCCCCGGGCUUAACCUGGGAACGGCAUCUGAUACUGUUAGGCUAGAGUAGGUGAGAGGAAGGUAGAAUUCCAGGUGUAGCGGUGAAAUGCGUAGAGAUCUGGAGGAAUACCGAUGGCGAAGGCAGCCUUCUGGCAUCAUACUGACACUGAGGUGCGAAAGCGUGGGGAGCAAACAGG